CACUGACAUAAAGCCUUCUUGCAGUGCAGUAAGACCAGCAAGACAGCUAAAAUCCCUAUUGAAGAAUUCUUUCCGGAUUAAGAGAGGUAGUCGAAGACUAAAAGACGAGGUCUCACUCAGUGAAGGAACAAUGACAAGAGAGCCAGAGC